AUCAGGGGCCCGUCUUAUCAACGAUCGUACGAUUUUGGAAAUCUUAGCGUACGAUUUUGAUCUACGAUUGUCGUACGCUCGAUCGUAAGACUGUCUUAUCAACGCGGUCGUACGUUCAACCUAAAAUCUUACAAUUUUCAUAAGCGUACGAUUCUUACGCCUGCGCACUAACACGUACUCUUCAAAAAAGGAGGUAACGCGCAUUUUAAUGUCAAACUUGAAAUACGAUGUCUGCUACAAUUCAGCGAUGUCUGACAAGGCAAGAAAAGUUAAUUGGACAACUCAAGAGCGUGAUAUGCUCAUUAGCAAGUGUGAAACUGCUGAUGUAGCCACCGGCAAGUUUUCACAGACAAUUACAGCCGCGGACAAAGCCCGUUUUUGGGCGGAUGUAGUGGAAAGUCACAAACCAAGAAGAAAACUAUACAGUAUAUUGCGGAAACCAGAAAAACAGGUGGUGGCCCAGCCCCUAUCUUAGACCUGAAGGCAUGGGAGAGCAAGAUUCUACAGACAAUACCCACCUGCAGUGUAGAAGGGAUAGAAAAUGGUGCAGACACCUUUCUUGCUUUGGGAAGAAAGGAAAUUUUGCAGGAUAAAGGAUUUGAAGGUGAUAAUGAGCCAGUGCCAAAGAAGGCAAAAUAUGACAAGAAAACAGAGGAUGACAUAUAUCAACUUGUUGAACAACAGACUGCAAUUAUGACAGAAUUGAAUUCAACAUUAAAAACAUUAAAUCAGUCUUUAGAUGGCAUAAAAAAAAGAUUAGACAAACUUAUUUAAAAUUCUAACACGACAUGUAUGUUUCCCUUAUGAACUCAGAAGAACCGAAAUUGUGUGUUAUAAUGGUCAUAAAAUCAAUGUUGACAUUCUUAUUAAUUUGGACAUUUGAUGAAACCAUUAAAAAUUUUAUGAGCUGAAUAUUAAUAUGGAAACUUUACAGGCACAAGUUAGCUUAAUAUCGGGUACUGCAGCAUUUAUUAGUUGACAUGUGUUAGGAUUGAAAUAAUAUAUCUCAAUCAGUAAAUUUAACCAUUGAUAUAUUAAAAUCAAUGUUUGUCCUUCAGAUGUGCAGCAUUAUAUCAACGGGGCUUUGUCCCCGUGAUGUAAUUUCUUACAUCUGGACUCCGAACAGUGAUUUUAUUUAGCACUAAAAUCAAAAUUUAGGAUAUAUUAUUUCUUAAUCAUUAAUUUAUAGUCAUUGUAAAAUUUUCAUUUAAGCACCCACCCUCCCUAACAUAGUGUUGGUGUCUAUUUUUAUCAGGAAACACUUCUGUCCUAUCUGUAUUUUGAAUUGUUUUUACCAUGUUUGUUUUGAAGUAACAGUUGAGCAAUUAUGAUAGUUGCAAUUGUUAAGUCCUUUUUAAACUUAGAAUUUUAGGCAAUUUAGAAUUUUUAACAUAAUUGCCUGUAAUAUAGAAUGAUUUAAAAGCUAUAAAAGACAUCAACAUGAAACUUGUUAUACUGUUAGUUAAAAAAGAAUUUUGACAGGUUAUAUUACCCCAUUUAAAUGGUUGUUUGCUUAUAUAAUCUAGUGACAAGGUGAGGGUUAUAAUUUGCAAACAAAUUCUUUUAAAUGGCCAUAUAACUUAUCAGAAAUCUUUGUAACAAAGUCAUAAUACAGCAAACAACAUUUUUAGAGGGGAAAAAAUUCUUCAAUCAUAAAUUUAAACAUCAUUGUAUUCCAAUGAAAAAUGAUGUUAAAAAAUGUGCAGUAUUUGAAUUAUUAAUAUUUAACAGGUAUAGUUGUAAGACAAGGGGAUAUUUCUGAAAGCUAUAUUUUUAUGCCACCGCAGCAUCUGCGAUGCGGUGGCAUAUAGCGAUUCACCUGUGUGUGUGUGUGUGUGUGUGUGUGUUUGUUUGUUUGUUUGUGUGUGUGUGUGUUAUAUAGAUUAUAUAGUGAACUUCAAAAAUCUUCUUGUGAAAAACCACUGGUCCAAUUUCAACCAAACUUGGCAGGAUUGAUCCUUGGGUGAAGGGCUUCCAAAGUUGUUCAAAGAAUUUCAUUCCAUGCAGAAAUCUGGUUGCCAUGGCAACCAAAAGGAAUUAUAAGAAUAAAUUAAAAAAAUCUUCUUGUAAAGACCCAAAAGGCCUAGAGCUUAGAUAUUUUGCAUAAAGCAUUGUCUGGUAGACCUCUACCAAGAUUGUUCAAAUUAUAGCCCUGGGGUCAAAAUCGGCCCCGCCCCGGGGGUCAUUGAUUUUCACUAUAUGUACAUAUAGUAAAAACUUAAAAUACCUUCUUGUAAAGACCCAAAAGGCCUAGAGCUUAGAUAUUUUGCAUAAGGCAUUGUCUGGUAGACCCUUACCAAGAUUGUUCAAAUUAUAGCCCUGGGGUCAAAAUCGGCCCCGCCCCGGGGGUCAUUGAUUUUCACUAUAUGUACAUAUAGUAAAAACUUAAAAUACCUUCUUGUAAAGACCCAAAAGGCCUAGAGCUUAGAUAUUUUGCAUAAGGCAUUGUCUGGUAGACUUCUACCCAGAUUGUUCAAAUUAUAGCCCUGGGGUCAAAAUCGGCCCCGCCCCGGGGGUCAUUGGUUUUCCUUAUAUGUAUAUAGUAAAAACU